rnacentral:lncRNA from 1 species
GCAAGAAGGGUCUCGGGAGCCGGGGGGUCUGGAGGUGGAGGAGUCUCAGCAUCUUGUUUCCUGUGCUCCUUCCCAGCAGGUGCAGGCCCUGGAAGACAAGGGAGGAGCCUGUGAGCCACCGGCCCACGUGAAAGUAAAUGCAUGAAGUUCCCUCUCGCUGAACUGAAAAGAGCCUCAACCUGGACCUGACACCAACUUCGCCGGUGCUGCCUGGCUGGUUGCUCUAGCGCCCUGAAGGAGAGGAAUGCAGUCAUAUUUCACUGUGAUUUUCAGUGUCAUUUCCACGAAGACUAAUGAUGUUGAGCUUUUUUUUCUCCAUAAUACAGGAAAGAGACCCAAACCCAUGAAGAAUGAGAUACAUGUACAGUUUUGAUUAUAAAACCAAAGAAUAAUGGCUUCACAAGAUGACGGCUGGGCUCCUGGGCUGCCUUCAGUGUCUUUAAACAGAGAUAGAGUCUUGCUAUGUUGUCCAGGCUGACACUGAACUCUUGGGCUCCAACGAUCCUCCUGCCCCGGCCUCCUGAGUACCUGGGAUUAUAGGCACAAGUCACCAUGCCCAGCCGGAAUAAUCUGAAGGAAAGACGGGUAUAUUCAAGAUGACUUUGCUGCUGGAAAUAUGACAGAAUAAUGUGGUAUCUUCUUCUGCACUUCCAAGCUCUUUCACACUCAGGCUCUUCCUGGCUUUUCUGCCUCAGCCACCAUAAACUGUGGUUGCUUCUCCAGCUCUGUUACAGUUCAGACUUGAGGGGAGGUGACAAGAGCUAACAUGUUACCAUGGGGAGCCUGGCUGACAUCUCCGAAACUGAAGACUCUAUGGAAGCCUCAUGCUAUUGCAAUGUGUACAUCAAAAGUAAAGUACCCCAGGUUAAAACUAUGAGGAAGUUGCCAUCUUUACUUCCAGGAGCAAAGACACUGAAACUGUCCCCUGUAAGCCCCUUAAUUUCAUACAGUCCUCUGACUGCCCCCCCAACCCUGGCUACUUUUUUUUGAAAUAAGGUCU